rnacentral:rRNA from 1 species
GAGUUUGAUCCUGGCUCAGGAUGAACGCUGGCGGCGUGCUUAACACAUGCAAGUCGAGCGAAGCGCUUACGACAGAACCUUCGGGGGAAGAUGUAAGGGACUGAGCGGCGGACGGGUGAGUAACGCGUGGGUAACCUGCCUCAUACAGGGGGAUAACAGUUGGAAACGGCUGCUAAUACCGCAUAAGCGCACAGUAUCGCAUGGUACGGUGUGAAAAACUCCGGUGGUAUGAGAUGGACCCGCGUCUGAUUAGCUAGUUGGAGGGGUAACGGCCCACCAAAGCGACGAUCAGUAGCCGGCCUGAGAGGGUGAACGGCCACAUUGGGACUGAGACACGGCCCAAACUCCUACGGGAGGCAGCAGUGGGGAAUAUUGCACAAUGGGGGAAACCCUGAUGCAGCGACGCCGCGUGAGUGAAGAAGUAUUUCGGUAUGUAAAGCUCUAUCAGCAGGGAAGAAAGUGACGGUACCUGAAUAAGAAGCCCCGGCUAACUACGUGCCAGCCGCCGCGGUAAUAC